rnacentral:tRNA from 1 species
GUCUUCGUAGUUCAAUGGAUAGAACACUGGGUUCCGGACCCAGCGGUUGGAGGUUCGAGUCCUCUCGAAGACA